UACGUAGGGCGCGAGCGUUGUCCGGAAUUAUUGGGCGUAAAGAGCUCGUAGGCGGCCUGUCGCGUCGGUUGUGAAAGCCCGGGGCUCAACCCCGGGUCUGCAGUCGAUACGGGCAGGCUAGAGUUCGGUAGGGGAGAUCGGAAUUCCUGGUGUAGCGGUGAAAUGCGCAGAUAUCAGGAGGAACACCGGUGGCGAAGGCGGAUCUCUGGGCCGAUACUGACGCUGAGGAGCGAAAGCGUGGGGAGCGGACAGG
rnacentral:rRNA from 1 species